AGUCGUGCGAGAAAGUAUCUUCGGAUAUUAGUAGAGCGGCGGACGGGUGAGUAACGCGUAGGAACCUACCUAGUAGAAGGGGAUAGCCCGGGGAAACUCGGAUUAAUACCGUAUACCUCCUUAGGGAGAAAGAGGGCCUCUCUUGAAGCUCUCGCUAUUAGAUGAGCCUGCGUAAGAUUAGCUUGUUGGUAAGGUAAUGGCUUACCAAGGCUACGAUAUUUAGCUGGUCUGAGAGGACGAUCAGCCACAUUGGGACUGAGACACGGCCCAGACUCCUACGGGAGGCAGCAGUGGGGAAUAUUGGACAAUGGGCGCAAGCCUGAUCCAGCCAUACCGCGUGUGUGAAGAAGGCUCUAGGGUUGUAAAGCACUUUAAGCAGGGAGAAAAAGUUAUAAAUUAAUACUUUAUAACCGUGAUGUUACCUGCAGAAUAAGCACCGGCUAAUUCCGUGCCAGCAGCCGCGGUAAUACGGAAGGUGCAAGCGUUAAUCGGAAUUACUGGGCGUAAAGCGCGCGUAGGUGGUUUGUUAAGUUGGAUGUGAAAGCCCUGGGCUCAACCUAGGAACUGCAUCCAAAACUAACUCACUAGAGUACGAUAGAGGGAGGUAGAAUUCAUAGUGUAGCGGUGGAAUGCGUAGAUAUUAUGAAGAAUACCAGUGGCGAAGGCGGCCUCCUGGAUCUGUACUGACACUAAGGUGCGAAAGCGUGGGUAGCGAACAGGAUUAGAUACCCUGGUAGUCCACGCCGUAAACGAUGACAACUAGCUGUUGGAAGACAAUGUUUUUCAGUGGCGCAGCUAACGUUUUAAGUUGUCCGCCUGGGGGGGUACGGCCGCAAGGCUAAAACUCAAAUGAAUUGACGGGGACC
rnacentral:rRNA from 1 species